rnacentral:rRNA from 1 species
AAUAGAUACCCAGGUAGUCCUAGCCGUAAACGAUACUCGCUAGGUGUCGGCCACGGUGCGACCGUUGUCGGUGCCGUAGGGAAGCCGUGAAGCGAGCCACCUGGGAAGUACGGCCGCAAGGCUGAAACUUAAAGGAAUUGGCGGGGGAGCACCACAACGGGUGGAGCUUGCGGUUUAAUUGGAUUCAACGCCGGAAAUCUUACCGGGACCGACAGCAACAUGAAGGCCAGGCUGAAGACUUUGCCGGAUUAGCUGAGAGGUGGUGCAUGGCCGUCGUCAGUUCGUACUGUGAAGCAUCCUGUUAAGUCAGGCAACGAGCGAGACCCACGCCCACAGUUGCCAGCGUACUCUCUGGAGUGACGGGUACACUGUGGGGACCGCCGCUGCUAAAGCGGAGGAAGGAAUGGGCAACGGUAGGUCAGUAUGCCCCGAAUAUCCCGGGGCUACACGCGAGCUACAAUGGUUGGUACAAUGGGUAUCUACCCCGAAAGGGGAUGGAAAUCUCCUAAAGCCAAUCUUAGUUCGGAUUGAGGGCUGCAACUCG